rnacentral:rRNA from 1 species
UACAGAGGGUGCAAGCGUUAAUCGGAAUUACUGGGCGUAAAGCGUGCGUAGGCGGUUAUUUAAGUCAGGUGUGAAAGCCCCGGGCUCAACCUGGGAAUUGCAUUUGAGACUGAAUAGCUAGGGUGCGGAAGAGGGAAGCGGAAUUUCCGGUGUAGCGGUGAAAUGCGUAGAUAUCUGGAGGAACACCGGUGGCGAAGGCGGCAUUCUGGACUACAACUGACACUGAGGAACGAAAGCCAGGGGAGCAAACGGG